AUGGACUGCUCGAGUUCCAAAGAGACCCCACCGCACAAGGCGUGGUGGACCGGCGAGACGGUGGCGGUGGUGACGGGGGCCAACCGUGGCAUUGGGCACGCGCUGGCCGCGCGCCUGGCGGAGCGCGGGCUAUCCGUGGUGCUCACGGCGCGGGACGAGGCGCGCGGGGCGGCCGCCGCCGCGGAGCUCCGCGCCAGGGGUCUCCCGUCCGUGCGGUUCCGCCGCCUCGACGUCACCGACCCCGCCUCUGUCGCCGCCUUCGCCUCCUGGAUCCGCGACCACGUCGGCGGCCUCGACAUUCUGGUGAACAAUGCCGGGGUAUCGUUCAACGAGAUCGAUACCAACUCGGUGGAGCAUGCUGAGACAGUCCUAAAGACGAACUUCUAUGGAGCCAAGAUGCUCAUCGAGGCGCUCCUGCCCCUUUUCCGUCGAUCCUCUGGGACCAGCCGGAUCCUGAACCUCAGCUCCCAGCUUGGCCUUCUCAAUAAGGUGAGGGACCCGUCGUUGAGGAUCAUGCUGCUGGACGAGGGCAGGCUGACGGAGCAGGAGGUCGAGGCCAUGGCGUCGCGGUUCCUGGCGCAGGUGAAGGACGGGACGUGGCAGGACCACGGGUGGCCGGCCGUGUGGACGGACUACGCGGUCUCCAAGCUGGCCCUCAACGCCUACUCCCGCCUCCUCGCCGCGCGGCUGGGGGGGGCCGUAGCUGUCAACUGCUUCUGCCCCGGGUUCACGCGGACAGACAUGACGCGGGGGUGGGGCAAGCGCACCGCCGAGGAGGCCGGCCGCGUCGCCGCGGGGCUCGCGCUGCUGCCCCCCGCCGACCUCCCCACCGGCAUGUUCUUCAAGUGGUCCACGCCGCAGCUCUACUCCAAGCUCUGA
rnacentral:rRNA from 1 species